AUGUAGAAACCUAACGGAAGAGCUUGCUUGUAUUGUCAAAAAAAUAAAUAUGUUUGAAAUGAAUUGUUUCAGAGGCUUCUAGAUGCAUCACACAGGGACCUAAGGCGUGCAAGAGCCGCAGCACUGAACAUAGUGCCUACCAGCACAGGAGCAGCCAAGGCGGUGUCAUUAGUGUUGCCGCAGCUGAAGGGUAAACUUAACGGCAUUGCACUCCGUGUGCCAACACCAAACGUCUCAGUGGUUGACCUUGUUAUAAACGUUGAGAAGAAAGGUUUGACAGCAGAGGAUGUGAACGAGGCCUUUAGAAAAGCCGCUAAUGGACCGAUGAAAGGCAUUUUAGACGUUUGCGAUGCGCCUCUUGUCUCUGUUGACUUCAGGUGCUCUGAUGUCUCUACCACCAUUGACUCGUCCCUCACUAUGGUUAUGGGUGAUGAUAUGGUCAAGGUGGUUGCUUGGUAUGAUAACGAGUGGGGUUACA
rnacentral:sRNA from 1 species